rnacentral:rRNA from 1 species
GAGUUUGAUUCUGGCUCAGGAUGAACGCUGGCGGCGUGCCUAACACAUGCAAGUCGAACGAAGAAUUUUUUGGAAGUUUUCGGAUGGAAGAAAAAUUACUUAGUGGCGGGCGGGUGAGUAACGCGUAAGUAAUCAACCUACAACACACGAAUAACUAAGAGAAAUCUUAGCUAAUACGAGAUGAAGUAAGUAUAUCGGGAGAUAUAAAUAUGAAAGCUGAGGCGGUUGUAGACGAGCUUGCGUCUGAUUAGCUAGUUGGCAGGGUAAGAGCCUACCAAGGCGACGAUCAGUAGCCGGCCUGAGAGGGUGAACGGCCACAUUGGAACUGAGAGACGGUCCAAACUCCUACGGGAGGCAGCAGUGGGGGAUAUUGCACAAUGGGCGAAAGCCUGAUGCAGCAACGCCGCGUGAGCGAAGAAGGCUUUCGAGUCGUAAAGCUCUGUCGUAUGGGAAGAAAAAAAUGACAGUACCAUACAAGAAGCCCC